CUCUCUGAGAGAUUCCCGAUUUUUGGACAUCGUAAUUCCAAGGGAUGAUGAUGGAGCUGAUCUAGUCGGCUCAUCGUAACAUUUUAUUGAUUUGUGUUCUCGGCUCACCGCUUCUUUUUACCGGAUUGUCCGCUUCCGGAAUUGCUGCCGCAUUCUUACUGGGUACUUCAACUUGGCCGAGUUAUGGCUCUCUACUGAUUUCCUUUUAGUCGCUGCUAACUUCUUCAUAGGACCAGCAGCAACAAAAGUUAAAAUGUCAGGAAAAGGAAGCACAAGGCGUGGCCGAGAAGAGAAACGAUAGGAAAGGACCACGCAGUGUGAUUGGUCUGCUUGUGUCUGUACUUUUCUUUCAAUAUAUAUCAAGUGGGAGGAGGAGCUUUGUCCCAACUUUUCCGGCCUGGUUUCGGUUUCCAUUCUCAUAGGGAAAGCUUAUGGAAAAACUACGUAUUUAGCCACAGCGUUUAAAAAUUGUCCCAAGAGGAACCGAGGGAGCUAUGAGUGUUGAAGCAACAUUCCCCGGACUUUUAGCAUCAUUUCUUCUUACUCUGUUGGCUGUUUCCUGGGUCAGGUACUAGACGUUUCUUACUAUUGUUGUUGAGGAACAUGAAAGUAUCUAGGAGUAUUGAGGUUAAAAAACCGAUGGAUGAGAGUAACGUAACCAUAAAUUCGAGUCCACAUAACUUAAAUGAAUGUAUAUAUAGUAACAUGCAUAGACUUGCUCGUGAAUGAAAAGCUGGAUCUGUAUAUUUUAUUUAGCUGUGCUGCUAUUAUUCACGCAUUUGAGCUUUGCUUUGAAUCCGCUGUCCGCCUAUCCAAUAUUUCGCUUACUUAAUCAGGAACAGCAAUGAAGAAAGAAGCACUUGUGUUUAUAGUAAUACCCUGACUGUGUUUAUAGAAGUAUAAUUAAUCAUGAGCACUUAUACUUCCAAGAACGUCAGCUCAAAAUCAAAACAAAAAUCGGUGAAAGUGAAUCAAAAUGAGUUACGAAAAUGAGAACCCAAUGUCAAGGACGUGGCAUGUUUCGGUGAUAGUUUUCUCGACUGCAAGACAGUAAGCUCGGUUGCGGCGAGAAUCAUCAUUGAGCAUGUCCAGAUAUGAUGUCGUCGCGAGGAUGCCGUCCGUCGUCGAAGUUUCUGAGAGCACCGGCUUGGUCAUUCUCUUUGAUGACAAUCCACUCCGAUUUGCCGGUGAGGGGGUCUUGUCUGAGCUGGAAGGACGCGUUGACUCGACUGAGAGCUCAUGAGUCAUGGCUCGAGCUGCGAGGAUAGACCUUAGGCGAGUCACUGAGAGACACCGGAAGGAGAGGAAGGGAGUAAAAGCUUUUGGGAACAAGAGACAGUGUCAAGAUGAACGGAGCUAAGGUUUUAGCCGCCAUGAGUUGUGACUCGUCAGAGGAGAUUCCCCCUCUGAUUAUUCUUUUGUUUCAUUUA